CACAGCUGCAGCUACAAGAUUUUUUAGCUGGAGUCAUUCAAAGGAAGCAAUCAAUAAGAGCUUUUCUCAUCAAUCACAAGGGCUGGAGAUGAACUUUAUGUCAAUGAAAAUGGAGAUUCUCAGGUCCUGAUGUAGAGAAGUCAAUAGGAGCUGGGUGCAGCCCUAGACGGCACAAGAGCCUCAUCCUACAAAUAUUUAUUACCAGUCUUCAGGUGAAAUCCUACUCCAAUGAAGUUAAUCAGUUUUCCCAUUGACUUUAAUGGGGCUAGAAUUUCAGGAAUAGGGUCUAUUGCAAAACUCACUUAACCCAAUGAAAAUGAUCCCAUUGAUUUCAAUGAACUUUGGAUCAGGUUGAUAAUGUUUGCCACCAUGAACUGACCCAGUGAAGUCACUGGUCCUGAUUUUGCUAUCACGCUGGUGUAAAUCAGGAGUAACUCCACCAAAGACAAUGGAUUUAUACCAGUGUCAAGUGAAAGCGGUAAAGCUCAGUGGUUCAUUCAUAAUCAUCAUCACUUCACCUAGUGCUACGCGUUUGCAGGUCUGAGCCCUUAGCGGAUUUCUGGGAGCAAGGGCUUCAUUUGUUAUUGUUCCUUCUUAUACAUUGCUUAGUAAAUUGCAGUGUACUGUCCAUCUCCAACAAUGUGGCAGAGAGUGUUGAAAAUUGAGAACACCUUUGAAUCAAGGGAGCUCUCUGUUUGGUAGAAAUUCCAUACCUCUGUGAGCAGUGUUAUCACGCUGAAAAGGAAUAAAGAGGUGAUGCACAAUGUCAGGGUGCAUCCGAAAAUCAGAGCUGCAUGAGAGAUUGGGGAUGUGUUUAGAAUUUGAAAAACUGUAGCCCUUUGGAAAACAUUUACACAUCUGUAUUCAGAUGUUAUGCAGUUGAAUGGGUACAAAUGAUAUAAAGCAAAGGCUCACCGUGUGUUAAAGGGACACGAUCAAUUUAACUUUUGCCCACCAAAUUUUGAUUUUGUACAAACAAGCCCUACUGUGACUUCUUCGGGGCUCUGUGCAGAUGUAGAGCCCACUUGCGAAGCAGCUUGUGCAAGUGAAACCAAAAAGCCUUGUCUACAUUAGAAAGGGCUUGCUGGUAUAGCUAGUAUAGACAAUAGACACAGCUUAUAGAGGCAAAAGAACGUUUUUGCCAGUAUAGCUUAUGCCAGUAUAACUGUCUACAUUAGGGCUUUUGCAAGUAUAAAAAUGGUGUAAAAAUCACACCUUUAAGGGACAUUCUAUAUCGGCAAAAGAUUCUAGUCUAGAUCCCGCUUUGGUGAAUUAUUUUAACCUUUUUUCCUUUUCUCUUUAAAUACCUUGUGUGUGUGUUUGUGUUAGUCUGUGUUUACUUCUGAUCCUGCAAUCCUUGCGCAAUAUCUACACUACAGACUUCUCUGAUAUAAUUACAUUGGUCAGUGUGUGAAGAGGUACGAUCCCCAACCAACACACCUGUGACAGCAAACACCUCUAGUGUAGACAAAAGUUAUACCAGCAAAAUUGAGCUUUUAGCACUACAACUUGUUUGGCUUGGGGUGGCUGAAAUAAGCUUUUCUGAUAAACGCACACUUUGCCAGUAUGAGCUGCACAACACUAGGGGCAUUUUGCCCAUAAAGCAUACUGAUAUUGCGAGAAUGGUAAAGCACUCCUAGAAUAGACUUGGCCUUACUCACUUGAACAGUCCCACGGCAGUUAAGCAUGAUUCCCCCCUCACCUUCACUGGGUUUUUAGUGGUGUAACUCCAUUGCUUUCAAGGGCGUUGUGCCAAUUUACACCAGUGUGAGAUCAGAAUAAGGCCCAAUAUGGUCACUUGUAUGAGUAAGGAUUAUUCAUGUAUUGCAGGGAGGGCUCUAUAAUGGGUGGGGUGCGUGUACAAUGGGAGAGUUGGUCUCUUUACAUAAUAAAUAUUUGACAACACUUGCUGACU